GGCGCACGGGUGAGUAACAUGUGGGAAUCUACCUGAAGGUUCGGAAUAACUGCGGGAAACUGUAGCUAAUACCGGAUGUGUCUGCAAAGAGAAAGAUUUAUCGCCUUCAGAUGAGCCCGCACUAGAUUAGCUAGUUGGUGAGGUAACUGCUCCACCAAGGCUACGAUCUAUAGCUGAUUUGAGAGGAUGAUCAGCCACACUGGGACUGAGACACGGCCCAGACUCCUACGGGAGGCAGCAGUAGGGAAUAUUGGACAAUGGGGGAAACCCUGAUCCAGCAACGCCGCGUGAGUGAAGAAGGCCUUCGGGUUGUAAAACUCUUUCAUCAAUGAUGAUAAUGACAUUAGUUGAAGAAGAAGCUCCGGCUAACUUCGUGCCAGCAGCCGCGGUAAUACGAAGGGGGCUAGCGUUGUUCGGAAUCACUGGGCGUAAAGCGUAUGUAGGCGGAUCAAAAAGUUAGAUGUGAAAUCCCUGGGCUCAACCCAGGAACUGCAUUUAAAACUAGUGAUCUAGAAUUUGGUAGGGGUUAGUAGAAUUUCCAGUGUAAAGGUGAAAUUCGUAGAUAUUGGAAAGAAUACCCGUGGCGAAGGCGACUAACUGGGCCAUUUUUGACGCUG
rnacentral:rRNA from 1 species